GUCCACGCCGUAAACGAUGAGUGCUAGGUGUUGGGUCCUUUCCGGGACUCAGUGCCGCAGCUAACGCAUUAAGCACUCCGCCUGGGGAGUACGACCGCAAGGUUGAAACUCAAAGGAAUUGACGGGGGCCCGCACAAGCGGUGGAGCAUGUGGUUUAAUUCGAAGCAACGCGAAGAACCUUACCAGGUCUUGACAUCCCGGUGCCCGUCCUAGAGAUAGGAUUUUGCUUCGGCACACCGGUGACAGGUGGUGCAUGGUUGUCGU
rnacentral:rRNA from 1 species